rnacentral:rRNA from 1 species
UACAGAGACUGCAAGCGUUAUUCGGAUUCACUGGGCGUAAAGGGUGCGCAGGCGGCCAAGUGUGUUAGGCGUGAAAGCCCGGGGCUUAACCCCGGAAUUGCACCUAAAACUACAUGGCUAGAGCAUUGGAGAGGGUAGCAGAAUUCAUGGUGUAGCAGUGAAAUGCGUAGAUAUCAUGAGGAAUACCAGAGGCGAAGGUGGCUACCUGGACAAUUGCUGACGCUCAGGCACGAAAGCGUGGGGAGCAAAAGGG